ACAAGCGGCGGAGCAUGCGGUAUUAAUUCGAUGCAACGCGAGAACCUUACCAAGGCUUGACAUACACCGGUAACGCCCAGAGAUGGUGCCCCUUUGUGGUCGGUGUACAGGUGGUGCAUGGUUGUCGUCAGCUCGUGUCGUGAGAUGUUGGGUUAAGUCCCGCAACGAGCGCAACCCUCGUCCUAUGUUGCCAGCGGGUCAUGCCGGGGACUCAUGGGAGACUGCCGGGGUCAACUCGGAGGAAGUGGGGAUGACGUCAAAUCAUCAUGCCCCUUAUGUCUUGGGCUUCACGCAUGCUACAAUGGCCGGUACAAAGGGCUGCGAUACCGCGAGGUGGAGCGAAUCCCAGAAAGCCGGUCUCAGUUCGGAUUGGGGUCUGCAACUCGACCCCAUGAAGUCGGAGUCGCUAGUAAUCGCAGAUCAGCAACGCUGCGGUGAAUACGUUCCCGGGCCUU
rnacentral:rRNA from 1 species